rnacentral:lncRNA from 1 species
GGGCGGGCGAGCGGGCGGGCUGGGGGUGUCGCCCUCCGGACUCAUCCAUCUUCCUCAAAUUACGCUUCACUUCCUCCCUCCGCCCGCCGCCGCCGCCGCCGCGCCCGGCUCCCGCUCCCUCCGCAGAGCCGGUUCCCAGCGGCCCGGCCGGUCGGCCCGGGACCCCCGCCUGUCCCCCGCAGCCCAACCAACUAUUAUUAAUGGAGAUUGAUGAGGCCGGACACGCCGCUUUGUGAAAGUUUGCGGCCGAUGAGAAGGCGGUGGCAGCUGCUGGGCCAGCGCCCCUCCCUCCACCCAGCCCGCCCCCCACUCGGCCCGCUCGGCCCGGGCGUGGACUGGACCGUGGGCCCGGGCGUGGACGCGGCGGCAGAUCCAGAAACUUGGGCCCAAAGAGAGGAAGAAACGUAUGGUCCACAAGUUAAUGGCAGAGCUAGCGCUAAACCUAGGGGUGUAACUCUGGGCUCAGCUCAGGCCGCCGCAAAGCUGAAUUGAAGGAGGAGCGGAUAAGGAGAGGCAGGACCCAGCUGUGCGUCCGGUGCUCCCUGACCUACAGGACGGGCAGUAGGUACAGUUGUUUUUGUUUUUUCUAAAUCUGGGUCCUUCACUCUCACCUGAAGCAUGGUUACCCCUUCAUGCUCACCGACCCCUGCACCCACAUUCCCAUUGGCCUUUCUGCCCCUCACCUCACCUCCCUACCCCAAGGCUGCCUUUAUCAUCCUGCCCUACUGACUUAACUCCCUCAUUCCACAGCGGCCCUGUGCUACCCAAGUCUUUAAGCUGGCUCAUCCUCUGGCCAGCUGUCCUUUUGGGCUUUUCUGACGCUAUCUCACCUGGUGGCCAUUCCGCCACGUCAUGUGCCAGAGGGGCAGGUCUGCCUGGGAUCCCUCAACAGCUGGUGGAUGCCAGAGGAGGAAGGUGAUGGAGCUGGCACUAUGGGGCAGAUCCAGGAAGACCCUGCAAGUUUGCCCAUCCUGAGGCCCCUGGGAGUGAAGCAGCUCAGAGGAAAGCCUGCUGGAGACAGCACCAAACAGCACAAGCCUGGAAACUUUUAAUGUGCAAACAAGGUUUAGACAGGCUGAAGGGGGACCUCAGGAGACCCCCAAGAGGAGUGUAUCACUUGCCAUGAGUCCUAGCUCUCUCUCCGUCAGACAUUGCCUGGCUGCAUGGUCCAUCCACCUCUCCCUGGUAGGACUGGCAACAUCCACAUCUGCCUGUGGAGGGGACCUCCUGCUGAGAGAGCCACCUUGGCCUGAGUCGGUUCACCUCAGUCCUGGGUUUGGAGCACUGUGAGAAGUGGGCCGGCACCCCCUGGGGCCUGGGGCAUCUGCUUUCAGGCUCUCUCAAGGGAAGUGGACAUCUGGAAGGAGAGGUGUGGAUUCAGAGAGGUCCGGUGGUCCCAGAGGCUGACUGGUUCUGGCCAGGGCCCUGCUCCCAACUCUUCUCUUGCC